rnacentral:rRNA from 1 species
ACUCCUACGGGAGGCAGCAGUGGGGAAUAUUGGGCAAUGGGCGCAAGCCUGACCCAGCCAUGCCGCGUGAGUGAUGAAGGCCCUAGGGUUGUAAAGCUCUUUCAAUGGUGAAGAUAAUGACGGUAGCCAUAGAAGAAGCCCCGGCUAACUUCGUGCCAGCAGCCGCGGUAAUACGAAGGGGGCAAGCGUUGUUCGGAUUUACUGGGCGUAAAGCGCGUGCAGGCGGCUUGUUAAGUUAGAUGUGAAAGCCCGAGGCUCAACCUCGGAACUGCAUUUAAUACUGGCAAGCUUGAGUAUAGGAGAGGAGAACGGAAUUUCCAGUGUAGAGGUGAAAUUCGUAGAUAUUGGAAAGAACACCAGUGGCGAAGGCGGUUCUCUGGCCUAAUACUGACGCUGAGACGCGAAAGCGUGGGGAGCAAACAGGAUUAGAUACCCUGGUAGCCGUAG